rnacentral:rRNA from 1 species
UACAGAGGUGGCAAGCGUUGUUCGGAAUUACUGGGCGUAAAGGGCGCGUAGGCGGUCUUGCAAGUCCCGUGUGAAAUCCCUCGGCUCAACUGAGGAAUUGCACGGGAAACUGCUUGGCUUGAGAUCGGGAGAGGGAAGCGGAAUUCCGGGUGUAGCGGUGAAAUGCGUAGAUAUCCGGAGGAACACCGGUGGCGAAGGCGGCUCACUGGGCCGGUCCUGACGCUGAGACGCGAAGGCGUGGGGAGCGAACGGG